AUUGAACGCUGGCGGCAGGCUUAACACAUGCAAGUCGAACGAGUGGCGGACGGGUGAGUAAUGCUUGGGAAUCUAGCUUAUUGAGGGGGAUAACUACGGGAAACUGUAGCUAAUACCGCGUACAAUAGGAUGAGCCCAGGUGGGAUUAGGUAGUUGGUGAGGUAAAGGCUCACCAAGCCGACGAUCUCUAGCUGGUCUGAGAGUAUGACCAGCCACAUUGGGACAGAGACACGGCCCAGACUCCUACGGGAGGCAGCAGGGGGGAAUAUUGCGCAAUGGGGGCAACCUGACGCAGCCAUGCCGCGUGAAUGAAGAAGGCCUUCGGGUUGUAAAGUUCUUUCGGUAGCGAGGCGUUAACUACAGAAGAAGCACCGGCUAACUCCGUGCCAGCAGCCGCGGUAAUUC
rnacentral:rRNA from 1 species